CCCUUAGACACUCUAGGCGGCACGCGCGCUACAAUGGGUGGAAGAACGUGUUACUGCCUCCGAAAGGAGGGGUGAUUCACGAAUUCUUGCCCGUGAAUGGGAUAGUUUGUUGCAAUUUUCGGACUUGAACUAGGAAUCCCUUGUAAACAUGCUCAAGAAUAGCGUGUUGAAUACGUCCCUGCCGUUUGUACACACCGCCCGUCGUUUCUUCCGACUGAUACUCAUUGUGAGUUGCAAGGACCCUUUAUUGGGAAAUUGCUGCAAAUGCUUUGUAUUGGAGGAAGAAAAAGUCGUAACA
rnacentral:rRNA from 1 species